AUUGAACGCUGGCGGCAUGCCUUACACAUGCAAGUCGAACGGUAGCGGGCCUUCGGGUGCCGACGAGUGGCGAACGGGUGAGUAAUGUAUCGGAACGUACCUUUCAGUGGGGGAUAACGUAGCGAAAGUUACGCUAAUACCGCAUAUUCUGUGCGCAGGAAAGCAGGGGACCUUCGGGCCUUGCGCUGAUUGAGCGGCCGAUAUCAGAUUAGCUAGUUGGUGAGGUAAAGGCUCACCAAGGCAACGAUCUGUAGCGGGUCUGAGAGGAUGAUCCGCCACACUGGAACUGAGACACGGUCCAGACUCCUACGGGAGGCAGCAGUGGGGAAUUUUGGACAAUGGGGGCAACCCUGAUCCAGCCAUGCCGUGUGAGUGAAGAAGGCCUUCGGGUUGUAAAGCUCUUUCGGCCGGGAAGAAAUCGUAUCAGCUAAUACCUGGUGCGGAUGACGGUACCGGCAUAAGAAGCACCGGCUAACUACGUGCCAGCCGCCGCGGUAACAC
rnacentral:rRNA from 1 species